rnacentral:rRNA from 1 species
AUGGGGACGAAAUUCCGAAAGGAAUGCUAAUACCGAAUGAAGUGUGGGGGAGGGCAUCUUCCCUACAUGAAAGAUGGCCUCUAUAUAUAAGCUAUCACUGAUCGAUGGGUCUGCGUCUGAUUAGCUAGUAGGUAAGGUAACGGCUUACCUAGGCGACGAUCAGUAGCCGGUCUGAGAGGAUGAACGGCCACAUUGGGACUGAGACACGGCCCAG